rnacentral:rRNA from 1 species
GAUGAACGCGGCGGUGUGCCUAAUACAUGCAAGUCGAACGCGUUGGCCCAAUUGAUUGAUGGUGCUUGCACCUGAUUGAUUUUGGUUGCCAGCGAGUGGCGGACGGGUGAGUAACACGUAGGUAACCUGCCCAGAAGCGGGGGACAACAUUUGGAAACAGAUGCUAAUACCGCAUAACAGUGUUGUUCGCAUGAACAACGCUUAAAAGAUGGCUUCUCGCUAUCACUUCUGGAUGGACCUGCGGUGCAUUAGCUUGUUGGUGGGGUAACGGCCUACCAAGGCGAUGAUGCAUAGCCGAGUUGAGAGACUGAUCGGCCACAAUGGGACUGAGACACGGCCCAUACUCCUACGGGAGGCAGCAGUAGGGAAUCUUCCACAAUGGGCGCAAGCCUGAUGGAGCAACACCGCGUGAGUGAAGAAGGGUUUCGGCUCGUAAAGCUCUGUUGUUAAAGAAGAACACGUAUGAGAGUAACUGUUCAUGCGUUGACGGUAUUUAACCAGAAAGUCACGGCUAACUACGUGCCAGCAGCCGCGGUAAUACGUAGGUGGCAAGCGUUAUCCGGAUUUAUUGGGCGUAAAGAGAGUGCAGGCGGUUUUCUAAGUCUGAUGUGAAAGCCUUCGGCUUAACCGGAGAAGUGCAUCGGAAACUGGAUAACUUGAGUGCAGAAGAGGGUAGUGGAACUCCAUGUGUAGCGGUGGAAUGCGUAGAUAUAUGGAAGAACACCAGUGGCGAAGGCGGCUACCUGGUCUGCAACUGACGCUGAGACUCGAAAGCAUGGGUAGCGAACAGG